rnacentral:misc_RNA from 1 species
GAUGAAGAACGUAGCGAAAUGCGAUACGUAGUGUGAAUUGCAGAAUUGAGUGAAUCAUCGAGUCUUUGAACGCACAUUGCACCUCUCGGUAUUCCGGGAGGUAUGCCUGUUCGAGCGUCAUUUGUACCCUCAAGCUCUGCUUGGUGUUGGGUGUUUGUUCCGCCUCUGUAUGUGAACUCGCCUCAAAACAAUUGGCAGCCGGCGUACUUGUUUCGGAGCGCAGCACAUUUUGCGAUCCAGAUCAACGUACAGCGGCAUCCAAGAAGCCUUAUUUAACGCUCUUGACCUCGGAUCAGGUAGGGAUACCCGCUGAACUUAAGCAUAUCAAUAAGCGGAGGA